rnacentral:tRNA from 1 species
AGUAGAAUGGCUGAGAUANUUUAUAUAGGUGAAGGAUUGUAAAUCUUUUAAGGAGUUUAAAACUCUUCUACUA